rnacentral:rRNA from 1 species
GGCGAACGCUGGCGGCGUGCCUAAUACAUGCAAGUAGAACGCUGAAGCGAAGAGCUUGCUCUUCUUGGAUGAGUUGCGAACGGGUGAGUAACGCGUAGGUAACCUGCCUUGUAGCGGGGGAUAACUAUUGGAAACGAUAGCUAAUACCGCAUAACAAUGGAUGACCCAUGUCAUUUAUUUGAAAGGGGCAAAUGCUCCACUACAAGAUGGACCUGCGUUGUAUUAGCUAGUAGGUGAGGUAACGGCUCACCUAGGCGACGAUACAUAGCCGACCUGAGAGGGUGAUCGGCCACACUGGGACUGAGACACGGCCCAGACUCCUACGGGAGGCAGCAGUAGGGAAUCUUCGGCAAUAGGGGCAACCCUGACCGAGCAACGCCGCGUGAGUGAAGAAGGUUUUCGGAUCGUAAAGCUCUGUUGUAAGUCAAGAACGAGUGUGAGAGUGGAAAGUUCACACUGUGACGGUAGCUUACCAGAAAGGGACGGCUAACUACGUG